GUUCAAGUUUUCGCUAUUAAGCGCCCACCUGGAGAAACAGGGAAUGCAGUUCAAGUUUUGGUAAUCAAGCGCCUACCUGGAGAACAAGGGAAUAAAGUUUCAAAUUUUGGCAAUCAGGCGGCAACCUGGAGAACAAGGGAAAACAGUUUCAAGUUUUGGCAAUUAGGCGCCCACCUAGAGAACAAGGGAAUACAGUUCAAGUUUUGGCAAUCAGGCGCCCACCUGGAGAACAAGGGAAUACAGUUCAAGUUUCGGCAAUCAGGCGCCCACCUGGAGAACAAGGGAAUACAGUUCAAGUUUCGGCAAUCAGGCGCCCACCUGGAGAACAAGGGAAUACAGUUCAAGUUUCGGCAAUCAGGCGCCCACUUGGAGAACAAGGAAAUAUAGUUCAAGCUUUGGCAAUCAGGCGCCCACCUGGAGAGCAAGGGAAUACAGUUCAAGUUUCGGCAUUCAGGUGCCCACCUGGAGAACAAGGAAAUACAGUUCAAGUUUUGGCAAUCAGGCGCCCACCUGGAGAACAAGGGAAUGCAGUUUCAAGUUUUGGCAAUUAGGCGCCCACUUGGAUAAACAGGGAAUACAGUUCAAGUUUUGGCAAUCAAGCGCCCACCUGGAGAACAAGGGAAUACAUCUCAUGUUUUGGCAAUCAGGCGCCCACCUGGAGAACAAGGGAAUACAGUUCAAGUUUCGGCAAUCAGGCACCCACUUAGAGAACAAGGGAAUGCAGUAUAGGUUUUGGUAAUCAGGCGCCCACCUAGAGAACAAGGGAAUAAAGUUCAAGUUUGGGCAAUCAGGCACCCACCUGGAGAAUAAGGGAAUACAGUUAAAGUUUUGGCAAUCAGGCCCCCACCUGGAGAACAAGGGAAUAGAGUUCUAGUUUUGGCAAUCAGGUGCCCACCUGAAGUACAAGGGAAUACAGUUCAAGUUUUGGCAAUCAGGCUCCUACUUGGAGAACAAGGGAAUAUAGUUAAUGUUUUGGCAAUCAGGCGCCCAACCUGGAGAACAAGGAAAUACAGUUAAAGUUUCGGCAAUCAGGCGCCCACCUGGAGAACAAGG
rnacentral:lncRNA from 1 species